UACGUAGGGUGCGAGCGUUGUCCGGAUUUAUUGGGCGUAAAGCGCUCGCAGGUGGUUCGUCGCGUCGUGCGUGAAAGACCCCGGCUCAACUGGGGGAGGUCGUGCGAUACGGGCGAACUGGAGGCCAGUAGGGGGAUGCGGAAUUCCGGGUGUAGUGGUGGAAUGCGUAGAGAUCCGGAGGAACACCAGCGGCGAAGGCGGCAUCCUGGACUGGUCCUGACACUCAUGAGCGAAAGCGUGGGGAGCGAUCCGG
rnacentral:rRNA from 1 species